rnacentral:rRNA from 1 species
UACCAGCACCCCGAGUGGUCGGGACGAUUAUUGGGCCUAAAGCAUCCGUAGCCGGUUCUACAAGUCUUCCGUUAAAUCCACCUGCUUAACAGAUGGGCUGCGGAGGAUACUAUAGAGCUAGGAGGCGGGAGAGGCAAGCGGUACUUAGUGGGUAGGGGUAAAAUCCUCUGAUCCACUGAAGACCACCAGUGGCGAAGGCGGCUUGCCAGAACGCGCUCGACGGUGAGGGAUGAAAGCUGGGGGAGCAAACCGG